UGCCAUAGCAAACAACUUAUCUGCUGUUAUAUCCCUGUAUAAAUUUACCAUUGCAACUUUGCUCUGUAAAAAAAAGCUGACAUAUGGCUGUCUCUUUCAAACACACUGUUGACCAAUGACUUUUAAAUGUUUAUUUGCUUGUUAAGAAUUUUAGUUUGCUUGUGCUCCCGAAUUGAAAAUGUUUCUUCCAGGUUUUGUAUAAUGUAAUGUGAUUGUAAAUCAUAUACAUGUACUUUGAAAAUCUUUCUGCUCCUCCAUUUUCAGCAUUUAUUCAUUUAGGCACGCUAAAACUUACUUUUACAAUUUUUUUUGCAGUUGAGCAUCGUUCUCGACAGAGUGCCUUCCUCAUUUUUUUUUAAUUUAUGUUAUUUCAACAUUGUCAUUGAAAUUUAGUCCCGGUAGCAUAGAAAAUACACUUCAUCUAAGAAAUACUCUUGUACUUUUAAGGCACUUACUUCAAAUACAUACAAAUCAUUUUCUGGGUAUUAUGUAAUAUCAUGGGUUUGUACAUAUCUAUCAGUAUCUUUAGAUGAGCACAAGAGAGUUUUAAAAGAGAUGUGUAUUUUCUUCUUUAAAAUGAUUACGAACGAAACUCAAACAAAACAUUUAAAAUGAAAUUCAGGGUGGAAUAGGACGCAAUUCCGAAAUAACAAUUUCGGUGACAUUAAAAUUAAAACUAGUAUUCGAACAAAGAGGGAGAGGGUGGAGGGCAUCUUAUUACCAGACAAGAACGUUUUAAUUCUGAAAGUAAGAAAUAUAACAACAUUGCAAUAUUCAACAUAUCUUUUCUGUGCGUCCUUGUUCAGUAGCGAUAUAUUUUUUUUUCUAAAAUGUGCAUUUCAUUAGUUUACAAAGGCAUCUAAGAUUUAGAUGGUUUUGCGCUGAAUAUUUUACCACAUGGCAUUGUUUCAUUACCAAUCUGUUAUUCACCAGUGUAAUGAAGUAAAUAAACAUAUAUGAAUUGUAUUAUUUUCAAAUUAAAGUUGUAUGAACGAAGUUUAUCAUAAAUUAAAAAAAACUUGUGUGCUGCAUGAACAUUGCGCAUGCUUUAUCAAAAACAUUUAUUCAUGAAUUUUGAGUGACAUUACGGUUUUUCUCGUUGUACACAUAUCGAUAUUUUCAUGAAUGCAUGCGCCCGGUUGAUGAAAUGAAGAAAAAAGUACCGAAAACGCAAUUUUCAUCCGGUGUACCUACAUGUAGUUAGAAUGAGUAAGAAAUUCCGAAAGCGAUUUAAGGCUGGUGAAAGAAAGAGAGAGGGAGAACGUUGGCUAAAGAGAAAGAGGAUCAACUUUGACGGUUACUGUCUAUAAAAGGAAUCCAAAUCCAUAUACCAUUAUCAUUAUCACGACUUUUUCCCAAACUCGUUCAAAAACAAGAAAAGACCGACUCACCUCGGUUACCAUUAAGGCCUACAGUAUUAUUUUGGACUCAUGGACUACGAAUAUCAUACAUCUUUAGCUACCAAAUUAAAGGGAACCUUUUUAGGUGUGCAAGAUGCAACCUACUGAAUGGAUAGGUCUCAACUUCUGACACCCGUAUAUUCGUAUAUCUACCAAUCACUUCUGUUACCUUUGUUGUGUUCAUCAUAGAGAGCUGUACGGUCUUCUAAAAAAAUCCAUUCUUUGAUGACUGAUGGAAAAGCUGCAUCACCCCCGCUGCUUAAGACCCCUUAAUUACGAGCCAUUAAUCAGUUAUCACUGUUAUCAAAGCUCCAAG